GAAGCUUUAAAAUACUUAUAAAUAAGUGUACAAUUAAUUCAGACUAUGUUUAUGAUUUCAUUUAAACUAAUGUACACUAAUUUUAUGAUUGCAAUGCUUAUCUCAUGGAGGCGAAUCUUCCCGAAAUCCGGCGACCACUCCAGAAACUUUCCAGAGACGCCGGCGUGGCGGCAGAUGGCAACACGGGUGAGGACGGUGGCUGGACGGCAACAACGAGAGAGAUGCCGGAGACGAAGAGAAGCGGCAGCGCGGCGGGUGAGGAAGGCAAGACAGACGGGACGAGCGGCGAGACUAUGUGGAAGGAGCGCCGACGAGGGAGAAGGAACGAUGCUCUAGCCGGGGAGAUUGAUUUCCGCCGAUUAGGUGGGGGGAGAGAGGUGAGAGAGGGAUGGAGGCGUGAGGCGUUGCAUUGUACGGUUUGGAUAUUAAUUUGUGUAUUAUAUGGAUUUUAUUUUAUGCAUUUAGUGGGCUUUUAGUGUAUUGGAUUUUGGAGUAUACUUUUGGUUUUAAAUAAUGGUAGUAAAAAUCAUGUAAUUGAUAUUUUUAAUUAAAUAGAGUUUUAAUUUGGAUAUUGGAUUUUAUUAUUAUGUUUUAAGCUAAAUUUUAAUUUAGACUUCUAAUUUAUUGAAAAUUGUAUAUAUUUUUAAAAUUAAAUUUAUUUUUAUUAUGUACUUAAAUUAUAUAAUUAGAAUUGAGUUGACUUUCAUUUACUCAUAUUUCUAUGUUUUAGACUUCUCAAAAAAUUGAAUAUGUAUAUAUAUCAUAUACUCCGUUUUAUAUUCAAAUUUUGCUAAAUCAAAUAAUAAUAAUAAUAAAAUACCAAAUAAUAAUUAUAAAAAGUGAGACUAAACUAUUGCCAAUAUCAAAUAAAGAACAACAACAUAUUUUCAAUACGAAUUAGGUCAUACAUUUUGUGCUACUUCAACUCAAGAGGGAAACUAAAAUUUUCAAGUCUAUUUUACUUUUUCUUAGUUUAUUUUUUCAUGUUUAUGUAUAUUUUCAUGUACUCCAAAAUUUAAAUUUGGUAUAAAUGAGUCAAAUUUGUUUGCUCAUGUUCCCCUAUUUCUUUAGGAGGUGUUUGGUUUGGCAAAUAAGAGUAUUAAAUGUCCAAAACUAACAUUUUCUCAUGUUUGGUUUGAUGAAUACCAUUUCAAUAUGGCCUCCAUUAAUGAGUCCGGCCCGCCUCAUUUUUGCCCAUUUCAUUAGUUAGGGUAUCUUCCAAAUUUUGGCAAAAACGUUUUCUACCUCAAGAGUGUUAACUUCAUUGGAAAACUGAAAUGACCCAUUUGUCCUCAUCUUCUUCAAUCACGUAACAUUUCACCUCCUUUUCUGUACAUUUUUUUACCGCUGCCUGCUCUCGUCUUCUCUCCGCGGAAUCAUCAAUUGGUAUCGGCUUCUUCUGGGACUUCGAGUUAAAUACCCACGACGACCAAGAUGGAUUCGCCUGCAAAAAAGGACAAGACCAUUGUGCAGAUGUUAGAAGAGAUAAUGAGAAAUUAUUAUAUCACCCGUCUUUGUAUCAUUUUUCUGAUCUACACUAAGCUGUCACCAGAGUGUCGAGCCUCCUGUUUGUGUCGUCGUGCACUUUCUCCAGCAUGUGGACCAGGCCUUCAAUGCUCAUCUCAAUCUUCCUCUUUUUUCCUCCAUUGCUAGAUGUGGCCUUGGUGGGAUUGCUGUGCCCAGUACUAUGGGAAAAUUAGAGUUUAAAAAUUGGCCAAGAACAGACUUACCGUGAAGAGAGGUUAACCAGCAAAUCGAAGUUCUCGGGUUCUCCGGCAAAUUGAAGUGAAAUCGAUACUCAAGCCUGGAAAGAGGCGAAAUCUUGAUGAAGAGGUCGCGAGGAGGCUGUGAAUUUUGGCGGUUCCUUAAUGAUUUAUUGCUAGGGUUAGACGAGGAAAAUAUUGGAAAUAAGAAAAAUAUAUGAGGAUAUUUCUGGUAUUUCAAGCUA